GCCUACGGGGGGCAGCAGUGGGGAAUUUUGGACAAUGGGCGCAAGCCUGAUCCAGCUAUUCCGCGUGUGGGAUGAAGGCCCUCGGGUUGUAAACCACUUUUGUAGAGAACGAAAAGACACCUUCGAAUAAAGGGUGUUGCUGACGGUACUCUAAGAAUAAGCACCGGCUAACUACGUGCCAGCAGCCGCGGUAAUACGGAGGAUGCGAGCGUUAUCCGGAUUUAUUGGGUUUAAAGGGUGCGUAGGCGGAAUAUCAAGUCAGCGGUAAAAAUUCGGGGCUCAACCCCGUCGUGCCGUUGAAACUG
rnacentral:rRNA from 1 species